GACGAACGCUGGCGGCGUGCCUAAUACAUGCAAGUAGAACGCCGUUCAGCACGGGUGAGUAACGCGUAGGUAAUUGCCUCUUAGCGGGGGAACACUAUUGGAAACGAUAGCCUCUACCCCAUACUGUAAGAUAGACCUGCGUUGUAGUAUGUAGUUGGAGAGGUAAAGGCUCACCAAGGCGACGAUACAUAGCCGACCUGAGAGGGUGAUCGUGCACACUGGGACUGGGACAUGGCCCAGAGGCCUACGGGAGGCAUGAGUAGGGAAUCUUCGGAGAUGGACGGAAGUCUGACCGAGCAACGGCGGGGAGGUUAAGAAGGUUUUCAGAUCGUAAAGCUAUUUUUUUAGAGAAGCGUUAACUAACCAGAAAGGAACGGCUAACUACGUGCCAGCAGCCGCGGUAAUAC
rnacentral:rRNA from 1 species